UACGAAGGGUGCAAGCGUUAAUCGGAAUUACUGAGCGUAAAGGGUGCGUAGGCGGUUGUUUAAGUCUGCCGUGAAAUCCCCGGGCUCAACCUGGGAAUGGCGGUGGAUACUGGGCAGCUAGAGUGUGUCAGAGGAUGGUGGAAUUCCCGGUGUAGCGGUGAAAUGCGUAGAGAUCGGGAGGAACAUCAGUGGCGAAGGCGGCCAUCUGGGACAACACUGACGCUGAAGCACGAAAGCGUGGGGAGCAAACAGG
rnacentral:rRNA from 1 species